rnacentral:rRNA from 1 species
GGUGAACGCUGGCGGUAGGCCUAACACAUGCAAGUCGAACGGCAGCACAGUAAGAGCUCGCUCUUACGGGUGGCGAGUGGCGGACGGGUGAGGAAUACAUCGGAAUCUACUUUUUCGUGGGGGAUAACGUAGGGAAACUUACGCUAAUACCGCAUACGACCUACGGGUGAAAGCAGGGGAUCUUCGGACCUUGCGCGAUUGAAUGAGCCGAUGUCGGAUUAGCUAGUUGGCGGGGUAAAGGCCCACCAAGGCGACGAUCCGUAGCUGGUCUGAGAGGAUGAUCAGCCACACUGGAACUGAGACACGGUCCAGACUCCUACGGGAGGCAGCAGUGGGGAAUAUUGGACAAUGGGCGCAAGCCUGAUCCAGCCAUACCGCGUGGGUGAAGAAGGCCUUCGGGUUGUAAAGCCCUUUUGUUGGGAAAGAAAAGCAGCAGGUUAAUACCCCGCUGUUCUGACGGUACCCAAAGAAUAAGCACCGGCUAACUUCGUG